rnacentral:lncRNA from 1 species
CCAGCAUGUAGGAGGCAAUGGCAGCCCUCUGCUCAGGAACUACUCCCAAGGUCUCGAAAGCUCUCUCAGUCUCUGCCAGCCAGUAUUGGGCCUCUUCGAAAGAGGAUCCCCCUGAAAAAGUAGAACGGUUCAGUCUUCUGUACCUCUCUAUGAAGCCGAGGUCGAUCAAGGAAGGAGCGGGGUCCCGAGGUAGAGGGAUUGGGGCCGGCUGAGGGUGAACUGGGGGACCCUGUGGUGGCACCUGCUGAUGUGGUGGGGGCACUGGAAUGUGCUGUGGCGGCACCUGUUGGUACUGUGGCUGUGGUACUGGGUCGUACCGCGGCUGUGGUGCCGGGUGGUACUGUGGAGGAACAAGCUCCUACCGGGGUGGCUCGGGAUCAGCCUGCUGU